rnacentral:rRNA from 1 species
UAGGGAAUCUUCCACAAUGGGCGAAAGCCUGAUGGAGCAACGCCGCGUGAGUGAAGAAGGGUUUCGGCUCGUAAAGCUCUGUUGUUAAAGAAGAACACGUAUGAGAGUAACUGUUCAUACGUUGACGGUAUUUAACCAGAAAGUCACGGCUAACUACGUGCCGG